AGACUAAGGUGAAUCCAAAAGUAACAGUAUGUUUAUGUACAACCUUAAAUGUAAAGUGGAGACUGAAUGAUUAUCUGAGAGGAUGAGGGCUGACGGCUGAGGGGAGAGUCGCGCCGCGCGGUGGAGUGGUGGAGCGGUGUAUUCGUGUAAUCGUGUUAGUCAGAUUAGAUUAGGGUUAUGUCUAUCUGUAUACUGUAUUAUGUAUAUAUGUAAUAUUAAUAUAUAUUUAUUUAAAUUUAAUAAAAAUUUCGGUUAUUUCGGUUUGAACCGAAAUAUUAUAUCAAAAAUCGAACCGAACCGAACUUUUAUUCGGUUCAAACCGAAAAACCGAAAUAACUGAACUUUUCAGAAAAAUGAAACCAAACCGA
rnacentral:lncRNA from 1 species